rnacentral:lncRNA from 10 species
ACAUCGUGUCCCAGGAUCCUACAGCAAAUAAAUGAUAAAGCAAACAACACAUGAGCUAUUAGAAAAUCAAUGCAAAACUAGAAAAUAAGAAGUAAAUCCCAUCUCCAGGAGAUAAUUUGGCAGCUGGAUGGGAAUCAUCAUUGCUUCAUGGCACAAUGGCGUACAAAGAUGUUAACUCCAAGCCUUUCAAUUUCAGAAGUCCUGGUCCAGAUGUAAGACAGAAAAGUUUUAACAAAAUGGGUGAUUAGAUAGAUCUCCUGUGUUUCCAGCAGCCAUCCCAACCCUUAGUCUGCUAUCCCCAUGCCAUUAUCCAGAUUUAAAGACUUGAGAUGAGAGAGAAGAGAGUAGAACAGAUUAGAAAACAAGAUGUUCAUAGGACUUUUAAGAGGUCUCUUACUGAACCCUCACAUUGACUAGCUCCAAAUUAAGGCAUUGAUAGGACUCACAUAAACCUUUGAGAUGUAAGAAUGUAAAGGACCAGAAAAUUGUCUGAAUCAAAAAGGUCCACUGAAUAGUAAGUUUAUUUAAAAAAAAAAAGUCUACAUAUAAACACCUCAUACAUGAAAUGGUCAAAGUGAGAAUCCUAAAAGCCCCAAAUCAGCAAUGAUCACCUUCAAAGUGACAAGGAUGGGGAUGGCACCAUAAUGGAGAGAUAAAGUGGAAGCCAGGCAGCUUUCGAAUAGUAGCUUUAUUUAUUUAUUUAUUAUUUUUAAUUUCAAUAGGUUUUUGGGGAACAGGUGGUGUUUGGUUACAUGAUAAGUUCUUUAGCGGUGAUUUCUGAGAUUUUGGGGCACCCAUCAUCCAAGCGGUGUAUACUAUACCCAACGUGUAGCCUUUUAUCUCCUGCCACCCCCCACCCUUUCGCCCGAGUCCCCAAAGUCCAGUGGAUCGUUCUUGUGCCUUUGCAUCCUCAUAACUCCCACAUAUGACUGAAAACAUCAGUGUUUGGUUUUCCAUUCCUGAGUUACUUCACUUAGAAUAAUAGUCUCCAAUUCCAUCCAGGUUGCUGUGAAUGCCAUUAUUUCAUUCCUUUUUAUGGCUCGGUAGUAUGGAACACUAGCUUUAAAGUGCAAAGGAAAACAACUUUCAACCUGGAAUUCUGUACCCAGCUAACCAACCAUUAAGGUUGAAGCUUGGAUGCGAUUCCUUUCCCUUCCUCUUCAAAUGACUGAUGAACUUCAUCCUGAGUCGAAUAGUGGAGCUUCUCAGUAUUUCUUCAUUUGAGGUCGAGGGUAAAUUGCCUAUAGUUUCAGUCUGACAGCUACUCACUUAGGACCCAUUUUAACUAAUGAACAGUUUCUGUUUUACUAGUAGUUGAUAACUGUCAGAAGUUUUUUGAAAGGGUCGAAAGAAGAACCCCAGCCAGAUGGGCAGCAGUGUGGAAAAUAUAGAUUGAAAUGGCGUUAGAAAGAGGUCAAAGAAGGUGUAUUUUGGGGGAAUGUAAAAAAAUGAAGUCUGGUAGAAGGAUUUGGGGAAGAACUGACAUGACUAUAUAAUAUGGAGGGUGCAGAGUUUUAUGGCCUUGGACUUUGUCCCUUCAUAUUUGACAGCGAUGUUGACCAUGAUCACUGAUACAAGCAAACCCUUAACAUCUCCUGAUAUUGAAGCAAAUCCUAUCAGCAGGAGAAAGGAAAUGAGUCACUGUGGAGGUGUCCAUUAACUUUUAUAGCCAGUUUGAAAAAACUCUUGUCUUGAGAGCAGCAGGAUUCAUCCCCACUCACUCACCCCACAGUGGGAGACACGUGGCAUGGAACUAACUCUCCUUCUCCACCACUUCAUGAACAACCUAUUAUCUAUUUUCAUGAUAAGCUCUCCAGCUAGAAAGCAUCAGUUGAUUUGCCCAAGAGGCACAAUGGAAGUUCCACUACCAAGAUGUAAAAUAAAAAGCUUUCAUCUCUUAAGGUUUUCAACUCAAACUUAAUUUCCUUCAUGAUUCCUGUCCUAAACCAGCCCCCUCCUCUAUAACAUUUCCCACAGUGUGUGGAAAUUAUUUGCUUAUGGGCCUAAUGUCCUCAAUAAGGUAUCUUUUCUCAAGAACAGAGAUGUGACUUUUCAUAUUUGUCUAUAUGUCUGACACUUCAGUUGUGUUUAAUAAGUGCUCACUAGACAAAUCUCAGUGUAUUGAAAUCCCCAGGAUAGCACUUGACACAUAAUAGGCCCACAAUACAUGUUAGUUUCUUUACUCUAUAUUUUCUUCUAAAGAUUUUCACAGACUAGGUUGAGCUUUUUAUCUCAAUAAUUUAUAUACAUUUUACAGAUGCAUAUGUAGAGGUGUAAAAGGCUAUUAUAAUAGCAGGCACUAUAAUUCUUUUUUAGGGGAAUUGUCUUUGAUAGGGAAAAUACCUUGGUAAGUAAAUUGGGGUGGAAAGUGAGACCCUAAGAAUAUUGAUUAGGAAAAUGCAAGGCAGUAAAACGUACUUAAAUUGUUCUGCUUUUUAGCAAUAAACUUGAAAUUUAAUGGAGGGGAGCAGGAAAAAAGGUGAAGAGAGGGAGAGAAAGGAGACAGCAGAGUAGUAAAGCACUGCAAUGUGUUCCAAAGGGCUUUUAAAAACAUGUCUGUCUAAUAUUAAACUAAAUUUUUGUUUACUCUUUUGUAAAUUGUAAGCGUUCUAAAUUCUGCUAUGUUCACUGAGGCCUUGUAAGAGUGGAGAUUUUGGGUUGCUUUGCUCUUAUUUUUCUAUUAGAAUUUCAAAGUGUUGUGUUUAUUAAAAAGCACAGUAUUAUAUGUAGACCACAAUUUCAUUUUUGUAAAAAAAAUAAGCUGUAUAAGUAUUCACGGGUGUAUUAAUUUGUAUGCAUAGAAAAAUAUGCAAAUCACACUGAUCUGUGAUUAUUCUUGGGGAAUGAGAUGGGAGUGGAAAAAGAGAAGAACUUUGACUUUUUAUGGAAUUUUGUGUUGUUUGAAAAUGCUCACUAGCAUGUUUUAUUUUGUAAUUAGCCAAACAAAUAAAUACAUGAAAUAAUCCCUUUUCCAGCCACCUCACUAGGCUGCUGGGAAGACCAGUUAUGAUAAUCUAUGUGAAAAUUGUUGAAAACUGUAAAGUGCUCUGAAAACUCAGAAGUGCUAUAAACACACAAGGGAUUAUUUAUGUCAUUGAGCAAAAUGACCCAUGACUUUGGUUUCUCAUUUCUUUAUCAUUAAAAUAAGGGAGUUGGACUAGAUGGUUUCUUAAACGCCUGCCAGGUUCACAUUCUCUAUGGUGUAUCUCUGUUCCUUGCUUUUCAAUCACCAAGCUCUCAAAAUCUCAUCCUCCUGCCUUAUGGGCUUCCACAGCAUGUCCUCAGGGCUCACCUGGUCUGUAGCCUUGGGCUUUGUGAGUCCCUG